rnacentral:lncRNA from 1 species
GAUUGUGAGACUCAUAAAAAUUAUUUUAAUAAUCAAUAAUUCUUAUUAGAUAAGUUAAAAUUAUUUCAAUCUAUUGAAAAGAAUUUUAAUGAUAUUUGUUGGGUAUAAAAUACCCCCAAUCAAAGUUUGUAAAGGACCGACCCUUUCAGGACAUUUCUAGCUUCCGACCUUGUGUGGUGUCUUUCUGAACCUCCUCGACCGUCCGAGCUUCCAUAAUACCAUCCGAACUUCUCCGACAAUGAGCUUCUCUAUUCAUCUACCGGGCCGCUCCAAAGGCUCUCUGGG